AAGCAAUAAUCUUUUAUUAACAGUUAAUAUUGAGAUGUAUCUGCUACUUAUGCUCUGUAAAGCCUCCGUAACGCCUCUAAUCCGAGGUGCUGUUUGUUAACUGGUGAUUUCUGAGGCUGGUGACUCUAAAUGCAGCAGAGGUCGAAGGCGGUCUGGACCCUAUCCCAGGACUUUGAGGCUAUGGGCAAUUUGGGAACGCCAAUUAACCUAAUCUGCAUGUUUUUGGACUGUGGGAGAAAACCAGAGUACCCAGAGGAAACCCACCAAGAAUGGGGAGAACAUGCAAACUCCUUGCACACAGAGAUUUCCCAUGAUCUGGAUCAGUGUGAACAGGAGAACCAGGUUUGGUACUAAUGAACUAAUUCCGUCAGUGAUGUAAUUGCUUGUAUCGUCAUUGAGAACACUCACACUUGCUGGAAGCGGCGCAUGCUGU